AGGCAAUGAUGAUGAAAUAUACCAUCAAACUCUGAAAGCUUGAUGCUUUUCUUUGAUGAUUUCAUAACAAACAAUACACUGAGCCU